AAGGCGGUUUUGUAUAAACGCCAUAAUGUUCAUGAAUUAAGGCAGUUUAUAUCACUGCCAUAAUGUAUUUGUAAGUCAAGGACGUACGUUUCUAGUGAUUUUGGCAGUAAUAACCGUUGUUAGAAAAAACCCAACCUAAACCUAAUUGCGAGUCGAAGAGUAGAGCGUGAGCAACAAGCUUCUCCUCCAGUGGCUUCUUCUCCUCCAUUGAUGCGAGCUUCUCUUCUAUUCUUGUGAGUUUCUCUGCCAUUGAUGCCAUAUUCUCCUCUAUCGAGCUUCUACGCUCUAUGUUGUGAGAGCUUCUUACCCUAACUCGUCUUCUCCGUGUCCGUUCUCACUUCUAGAAUUCGAAAACUACAUCGCCACUGCUCUGCGAGCUUCUCCUCCAUCAAUGAUUCUUCCCCUCCAUCGGUGUCAUGUCCAUCAAUGCUUCUCCUCUGAUGGUACAUUUGCUUCCAUUGAUGCGAUUUGCGAGGUUUUGAUUUUCCUCCUUGUUCAAUUUAUUUUUAGGUAAAAAAUUGGGGAUUAAUUAUAAUCAUGUGAAUACUUGUUUUCUCCUGGUAUGACGUGCACUGUGAACUGCAUAGAUGUUCUUCAUGUUUUCUGUUUGCAGAAAAAGCUUUUAAGGAAUUUACUUGAGUUAUACUUUUUUAAUUUUGAAAGCGUGGAGUGUCAGAGUCUCAACCAAAUUAUUUGAAAUCCUAUUAACAUUCUAACAUGGUAUGUGCAAUUAUUUAUAUAAAUUCUUGAAAUCUAGCUUGUUCAACUUGUUCGUUAUAGCAAAUUUGUAAUCACUAUAGUCGAAGAGUUGUAACAUACACAAUGAACUGGGAGCAGUCAAUUGCUUUAGUUUAUUAUUUGUUAAAUCUGUGUGUUCAAAUUCAUAGAAAGUGGUCACCAAACACAACCUCUAACAUCAUAUUUGCCUUCACCAUGUUUUCCUUUCUUCAUGAAACCCAAAUUUGACGUCGCUAAUAGAAUGCUUCUCUUAAUGUUAGUACAUGGCUAGACCUCAUUGGAUGCCUCUAAUAUAUACAGUGUUUUUGUUUUAUGACAGGGGCUAAUUAUCUCUUUGAUGCUUGAUUUGAUAUUCAUUCAACCUGUUAACGUUAUAUUUUGGAAAUAGACAUUAUGAAUUUUAGAUUGUAUGAAGUAGUUAGUGUUCCAUUGACAUUUUCUUUUAAAUUGAUCAUCUUGUGUUACUUUUUGCAGGGAUCUUGAUAACUCUAAUCUAUCUAGACAUUUGGUAUCUAAACUUGGGAAGCUUAAAUAUUUUAUAAUAUCUAUAUACUAUAUAUACUAUGGUUAAAAUUUUGGUACGGUGAUGUGGGUUUUCUAAUGUCAAAUGUGCACAUAUAGCUAUAUUCAUUGUAUUUUUCUACUUCAAUAAAUACAUAGUUAUAUGCUCAUUGGAUUUUGGACUAAAAUUUCAUGGUUGCUUUCAUGUUUGUCUCAUAAUAGGUCAAUCUUCACAUCCACCAGUUGAAGAUAUGUGACUUUGGAAGUGCUAAAAUUUUGAGAUAACAAAUGCACAGCUAAGCUUGCAAU